UACGGAGGGGGCAAGCGUUACUCGGAAUUAUUGGGCGUAAAGGGCGCGUAGGCGGUCGUGUGCGUCGGAGGUGAAAUCCCCGGGCUUAACCCGGGAGCUGCCUCCGAUACGGCACGGCUUGAGUCCGGGAGAGGGGGAUGGAAUUCCGCGUGUAGCAGUGAAAUGCGUAGAUAUUCGGAAGAACACCAGUGGCGAAGGCGGCUCACUGGUCCGGUACUGACGCUGAGGUGCGAAAGCGUGGGGAGCAAACAGG
rnacentral:rRNA from 1 species